CGCGGCAAGAAGUUCUGCGCUAUAACGAAAAAGGGGGGGUCUGUCACUGGCUUUGCCCUCGUGAUAGAGGGCUUUUUAUAACGG
rnacentral:sRNA from 2 species